AGAGUUUGAUCAUGGCUCAGAUUGAACGCUGGCGGCAGGCCUAACACAUGCAAGUCGAGCGGUAGCACGGGAGAGCUUGCUCUCUGGGUGACGAGCGGCGGACGGGUGAGUAAUGUCUGGGAAACUGCCUGAUGGAGGGGGAUAACUACUGGAAACGGUAGCUAAUACCGCAUAACGUCUACGGACCAAAGUGGGGGACCUUCGGGCCUCACGCCAUCAGAUGUGCCCAGAUGGGAUUAGCUAGUAGGUGGGGUAAUGGCUCACCUAGGCGACGAUCCCUAGCUGGUCUGAGAGGAUGACCAGCCACACUGGAACUGAGACACGGUCCAGACUCCUACGGGAGGCAGCAGUGGGGAAUAUUGCACAAUGGGCGCAAGCCUGAUGCAGCCAUGCCGCGUGUGUGAAGAAGGCCUUCGGGUUGUAAAGCACUUUCAGCGAGGAGGAAGGGCGAUGUCUUAAUACGGCAUCGCAUUGACGUUACUCGCAGAAGAAGCACCGGCUAACUCCGUGCCAGCAGCCGCGGUAAUACGGAGGGUGCAAGCGUUAAUCGGAAUUACUGGGCGUAAAGCGCACGCAGGCGGUUUGUUAAGUCAGAUGUGAAAUCCCCGCGCUUAACGUGGGAACUGCAUUUGAAACUGGCAAGCUAGAGUCUCGUAGAGGGGGGUAGAAUUCCAGGUGUAGCGGUGAAAUGCGUAGAGAUCUGGAGGAAUACCGGUGGCGAAGGCGGCCCCCUGGACGAAGACUGACGCUCAGGUGCGAAAGCGUGGGGAGCAAACAGGAUUAGAUACCCUGGUAGUCCACGCUGUAAACGAUGUCGAUUUGGAGGUUGUGCCCUUGAGGCGUGGCUUCCGGAGCUAACGCGUUAAAUCGACCGCCUGGGGAGUACGGCCGCAAGGUUAAAACUCAAAUGAAUUGACGGGGGCCCGCACAAGCGGUGGAGCAUGUGGUUUAAUUCGAUGCAACGCGAAGAACCUUACCUACUCUUGACAUCCAGAGAACUUUCCAGAGAUGGAUUGGUGCCUUCGGGAACUCUGAGACAGGUGCUGCAUGGCUGUCGUCAGCUCGUGUUGUGAAAUGUUGGGUUAAGUCCCGCAACGAGCGCAACCCUUAUCCUUUGUUGCCAGCGAUUCGGUCGGGAACUCAAAGGAGACUGCCGGUGAUAAACCGGAGGAAGGUGGGGAUGACGUCAAGUCAUCAUGGCCCUUACGAGUAGGGCUACACACGUGCUACAAUGGCGUAUACAAAGAGAAGCGANGCGAGAGUAAGCGGACCUCAUAAAGUACGUCGUAGUCCGGAUUGGAGUCUGCAACUCGACUCCAUGAAGUCGGAAUCGCUAGUAAUCGUAGAUCAGAAUGCUACGGUGAAUACGUUCCCGGGCCUUGUACACACCGCCCGUCACACCAUGGGAGUGGGUUGCAAAAGAAGUAGGUAGCUUAACCUUCGGGAGGGCGCUUACCACUUUGUGAUUCAUGACUGGGGUGAAGUCGUAACAAGGUAACCGUAGGGGAACCUGCGGUUGGAUCACCU
rnacentral:rRNA from 1 species